rnacentral:misc_RNA from 1 species
GGCAGAGGAAGAAACCAUAGACAGUGUUUGGAGAGCCUUGACCAAUGAUGAAGUUGUAAAAUCCAUUGUUGCAAGUAGCAUUAGAAGAUAAAGAAGAAAGAACAAGAUUGAGAAUUUCUCUCUCGAAAAUCAACAAUUUUUUUUAUUUUGUAUUUUGGAUUUGUGUUUGUGAUGGCAAUAACAACUGCAGUAAAUUUUCACUGUUCCUUUUGCU